rnacentral:rRNA from 1 species
AUUGAACGCUGGCGGCAGGCCUAACACAUGCAAGUCGAGCGGAUGAAGGGAGCUUGCUCCUGGAUUCAGCGGCGGACGGGUGAGUAAUGCCUAGGAAUCUGCCUGGAAGUGGGGGAUAACGUCCGGAAACGGGCGCUAAUACCGCAUACGUCCUGAGGGAGAAAGUGGGGGAUCUUCGGACCUCACGCUAUCAGAUGAGCCUAGGUCGGAUUAGCUAGUUGGUGGGGUAAAGGCCUACCAAGGCGACGAUCCGUAACUGGUCUGAGAGGAUGAUCAGUCACACUGGAACUGAGACACGGUCCAGACUCCUACGGGAGGCAGCAGUGGGGAAUAUUGGACAAUGGGCGAAAGCCUGAUCCAGCCAUGCCGCGUGUGUGGAGAAGGUCUUCGGAUUGUAAAGCACUUUAAGUUGGGAGGAAGGGCAGUAAGUUAAUACCUUGCUGUUUUGACGUUACCAACAGAAUAAGCACCGGCUAACUUCGUG